AGGUUGCAGCGGUAGAUACAGA
rnacentral:siRNA from 1 species